AGGUUUGAAAUGUCUUUUUUUUUUUUUCACUCAGGUUAAUGUGUCUCAGAUCACUUCCUUGAGGUGGUUCGUUGCACAGCUGUAUGACUGCAUGUGCCUGCAGUUAUGGGUGGAGAAAUAAGCACCCAGGAAUGAGGAGGUGGUGGGAUGUCUCUUUGAUGCUUGAGAUGGCUUAUGUCUUAUUAAACUGGUUCUGAAAUUGCAGUGUAAAGCUGCUCCAUUUAAACGUCAUAGCCAGCAUCUAUUUCUACAGUUUAUCAGAAUCUACAAAAGCAAAAACAGAGUUCUUCUGCUGAUAAAAAUUGCAGUCAUCCAUUACUGGAAAAAUGCUACUUAAUUGCAGGAAAUGGAGAUUACACGUGACAGUAAGUUUAAAAUUUAUCAUAAAAUGAGACAUUCUACUGAAACAUGUUCAUGUUCAUUGAGUCCGUGCUUUGCAUUCUUCACAUUCCAGGUAGGCCUCUACUGGGAUACUAGGACACAGAAGCUGCCUUCUAAGGAGUACACUCAGCUCAUUAGGUUUUCAAAGGUGCGAAAACAACUUUCCUACUGCUAGCAGAGAAUUUGAUUUGUGCUUCUCGGAUACGAAGUUCCCAUGAGAUGGUGUGUGAACUACAACACAUGCAUGAGUCCUGUUUUUAAAAAAUCAACUCGAGUUCAGAAUUCAAUACAUACAC
rnacentral:lncRNA from 1 species